rnacentral:rRNA from 1 species
GAUGAACGCUGGCGGCGUGCUUAACACAUGCAAGUCGAACGGAAAUAGAAGGAAGCCUAGCGAAUUCUAUUUUAGUGGCGGACGGGUGAGUAACGCGUGGGUAACCUGCCUUGUACUGGGGAUAACACUUCGAAAUAGGUGCUAAUACCGCAUAAGCAUACGAAGUCGCAUGACUUUGUGUGAAAAACUCUGGUGGUACAAGAUGGACCCGCGUCUGAUUAGCUAGUUGGUGAGGUAAUGGCUCACCAAGGCGACGAUCAGUAGCCGGCCUGAGAGGGUGAACGGCCACAUUGGGACUGAGACACGGCCCAAACUCCUACGGGAGGCAGCAGUGGGGAAUAUUGCACAAUGGGCGAAAGCCUGAUGCAGCGACGCCGCGUGAGUGAAGAAGUAUUUCGGUAUGUAAAGCUCUAUCAGCAAGGAAGAAAAUGACGGUACUUGACUAAGAAGCCCCGGCUAACUACGUGCCAGCCGCCGCGGUAA